rnacentral:rRNA from 1 species
GAUGAACGCUGGCGGCGUGCUUAACACAUGCAAGUCGAACGGAAAGGCCCAAGCUUGCUUGGGUACUCGAGUGGCGAACGGGUGAGUAACACGUGGGUGAUCUGCCCUGCACUUCGGGAUAAGCCUGGGAAACUGGGUCUAAUACCGGAGAGGACCACAUUUUGGAUGGUGUGGUGGAAAGUUUUUCGGUGUGGGAUGAGCUCGCGGCCUAUCAGCUUGUUGGUGGGGUAAUGGCCUACCAAGGCGUCGACGGGUAGCCGGCCUGAGAGGGUGUACGGCCACACUGGGACUGAGGUGCGGCCGAGGCUGCUACGGGAGGCAGCAGUGGGGAAGAUUGCACAAGGGGCGCCGGGCUGAUGCAGCAGGGUCGCGUGGGGGAUGACGGCCUUCGGGUUGAAGAAUCCUUUCGCUAGGAACGAAGCGUUAUGUGACGGUACCUGGAGAAGAAGCACCGGCUAACUACGUG